rnacentral:rRNA from 1 species
GUCGAGAAUCUUUCACAAUGGGGGCAACCCUGAUGGAGCGACGCCGCGUGGAGGAUAAGGUCUUCGGAUUGUAAACUCCUGUCAUGCGUGAACAAGGUUGCUUGGUUAAUACCUGGGCAAAUUGAUGGUAACGCAAGAGGAAGAGACGGCUAACUCUGUGCCAGCAGCCGCGGUAAUACAGAGGUCUCAAGCGUUGUUCGGAAUCACUGGGCGUAAAGGGUGCGUAGGUGGCGUGGUAAGUCAGAUGUGAAAGCCCGGGGCUCAACCUCGGAACUGAAUCCGAUACUGCCAUGCUAGAGUACUGGAGAGGUGACUAGAAUUCUCGGUGUAGCAGUGAAAUGCGUAGAUAUCGAGAGGAAUACCAAAGGCGUAGGCAGGUCACUGGACAGUUACUGACACUGAGGCACGAAGGCCAGGGGAGCGAACGGGAUUAGAUACCCUAGUAGUCC